UAGGGAAUCUUCGGCAAUGGACGGAAGUCUGACCGAGCAACGCCGCGUGAGUGAAGAAGGUUUUCGGAUCGUAAAGCUCUGUUGUUAGAGAAGAACGUUGGUAGGAGUGGAAAAUCUACCAAGUGACGGUAACUAACCAGAAAGGGACGGCUAACUACGUGUCAGCAGCCGCGGUAAUACGUAGGUCCCGAGCGUUGUCCGGAUUUAUUGGGCGUAAAGCGAGCGGAGGCGGUUCUUUAAGUCUGAAGUUAAAGGCAGUGGCUUAACCAUUGUACGCUUUGGAAACUGGAGGACUUGAGUGCAGAAGGGGAGAGUGGAAUUCCAUGUGUAGCGGUGAAAUGCGUAGAUAUAUGGAGAAACACCGGUGGCGAAAGCGGCUCUCUGGUCUGUAACUGACGCUGAGGCUCGAAAGAGUGGGGAGCAAACAGG
rnacentral:rRNA from 1 species